AUACUUACCUAGCAAGGGAGAUACCGUGGUCACAAAGGCGGUCUUCCCAGAGCAAGGUUUAUCCAUUGCACUCCAGAUGUGCUGGCCCUCGCAAUUUCCCAAGGGUGGGAAACUCGACUGCAUCAUUUGUGGUAGUGGGGGACUGUGUUCAUGCUCUCCUCUG